UCCAAUUCACCCUCCAUCAUAUUCAGCGCACACAAACACACGCCAUGCAUUUGGAUUCAAAAUACAAUAUACCCCAUGGAUUUCCAACUAGAUAUUGGUUCAGUAGUAUUUCUCUUCCAACGUUGAAAUUAUCCCGAUUUCAAAUCCCCUUCUUCCACUAAUAAAAAGAUAAAAGAAAAUUGUAACCAUUUGAAUUCUAUGCAGAGUUGUGAAUACAACAUAAAGCCAUAUGCAUGCGAAUACAACAUAAUCAUUACUUGUAGCACUACACUCCGCCCGUUAACAAUUAAUGUACUCCAAAGCGUUUUUCAUUGGAAGUACUUUCCAAAUAGGGAAACCACAUUGAAAAAGUACAUCCAAAGACUUCAUGGUCUAAGUUCUUCAAAGAAAGCAGGAAACACCCCUCAAAUUGGGCAUUACUUAGCCCAGAUUAUUACAUACCAAAAUUGAACAAAGGGGAGAGACGCAUUUAGUUAUCGUUCUUCUAACAUCGACUUCUAUGCAGUAUGCCCCUGUACAAAAGGAAAUUCACAAUUAAUUACAGUAUAGCAUUUAGUUUCUAAACUUUAUCAAUGUCCACAAGCAAUAAAAAGAACGUUAAAGGAGAAGUGCCACUAACGUCGGCAGAAAUAGGAGUAUUGUUGUCUUGGUUGUUUCAAUGAAUUCUGUGACACAAGGCAUAGUUAUUUUUCUAGUGAGCGGCUGUUUUGUUAGUCAGGAAUCUAGGAUCGGUUCUAAUCCCUUGCAACAAAAAAGGUCUGAAAGAUAAUGUAAUUCAAUUGUGAAGCAAUAGAACUGACAUUUGGCCCUCCUAUUUAGGUUCUCCUUCCGAGAAGAAAAUUUUUGCAUUAUUUCCAUUCAAUCUGCAAUUUGCAAGUUAUUCACUUGCUCUGCCUUUUCCCAAGUGAUCAAGCACAGCAGUCACUUACUAUUUUCAUUGUUCUCCUUUAUCCAAUGCAUACAAGACGUAACCUAUAAUACCUUGAGCAUGUCCGGAGGACUUUACAGAUAUACAGCAGAGCAUAUAUGUGGGUAAUAUCUAUACACUCUUAAGAAUAAUGAUUGAAGGUUGUGAUAGGUAAAGCCAAAAAGUGCUAAGCGGAACUUGCAAAUCAUCCAAAUCAUCAUAGAGGUAUAAAAUCAGAGUCAUAACAAGAGAAAUGAAAAACACCUGACCCUUGCAGAGAAAAAGUACAGACUGAGCUAGUCUUAUUUGGUGGAUUUAGGAUCGUUCUUGGAAGUGUAAUCAGGAGGGGAAUAGAUAACAGCUGCGGCCAUGGCCCCAGGAAAGACCACGUACUUGGCCAAGGCUGCCAGUUUCGUCACUAGUGGCUCUCCCCUCAUCAAUGCCAUUCCUCUGCUUAGAUCAGAGUCUGUAACACUUCCUUCAACCAAAUGCAUGCACUUAAACUCAAAUGUCCAAAGACACACAAUAAAACUAAAUAUAAAACAAAGGUAAAACAUAAUAUUUUCUGGAACCUAAAAAUUGUUGUUGUUGUUGUUGGCUUUAUUUUCUCAAAAACUAAAUGCAUAAUAUGUAGACCAAUACACCAAUAUUACACUAACAAAAUGAAUAAGCAAGAGUAACAACAUGUGAUUGCAAACACUGAAAAAUCAGCAAUCCAUUUGGAGUUCCAGGGGGGUAAUUUCAGUGUCCAUAUCUGAAGUCAAUCAUGUGAAAGCGUAUACAAACUCAAACAAUAAUCCUCUGUAAUAGCCUACCAUAUCACAAAAUGUAAUAUCAAUUCUUUUAAUCCAGUUUUAGUGCCAUCUUAGAACAGAAGAGGACACUGAGUUGUGAGUUCUCAUUGAAAUGUCUUGGAACAUCCAUGUUGAACAGAAGGAUACAUUGAACCACAAUAUUCAUUUCAAAUACAUGGUAAAUAGGUCCUACACGUAACACAAGUUGGUAAUCUUGACCCAACAACAGACCACCACCAAAAAGAAGUUUAAAAUCAAAACCAUAUCUAGUAACGGACCAGAUAAUAAGGGGGGCAGCUACAGAAUCCCAUUAAUCUUAAAAAAGUUUCAACCUUUCUAAAACAAGAAUAUAGCAUGAAUGCAUGUAUAAUCUAACAUCAUAACUUACUAACUUCAAGCAUUCUUUCCUUUUUGUCACUUUUAUGUAAUUAAUGGUGAACUUGUAAUACAAUCUCAAACUGUAUGUUACUCUGCCGGAAAGGAUCAUCUCAAACUGUAUGUUACUAUGUAGCUAGGUAUCCAGAACAUUUUGCUGCUACAAUGGCAAUGAUAGGUAAACUAAGCAACCUUAAUAAUUAAAUGCACACCAAAUUCUUUUUUUAAUUGAAGAAUAGCUGACACCCAAGUCUCAAGAUACGAAUCAGAUAUCAUUUCUGUGGGACAUUAGUUUGCAUGUAAAAACUCGAGGGCAUAGGGUGAUAAAGAGCAAGUACAAUCUGGUGGCAAAUGGUUGGGAUGCUAAUUGUCCGAGUCGAGGCUCGAGCAGGUGUCCCUGGACAGACAUCUCGGCUGGUUACCCUCCCUUUCUUCACUCAUGCAACUUCGAGGUUGGUAACGGAGAGAGGCUGAGAUUCUGGGAGGACGGUUGGUUGGAGGGCAGUCCGUUGAAGGAGCAAUUCCCUAGAUUAUUUUCUUUAUCAAGGACAAAAAACCAAAGUAUUUCCAAUUUGGUAGCUUCUUCUUUACAGCCGGUCAGUUGGAAUUUAGAGUUUAGGAGAAACCUAAGAGAGUCGGAGAUUGAAGAGGUGGCUGGUUUACUGCAGAAGGUGGAGUCCGUACGGCUGUGCCAUUCUAGAGAAGACAGGAGAAGAUGGAAUUUAGAAGGCUCUGGCCAGUUCACUUGCAAAUCCUAUAACUCUUUCCUUUGCAACAAUGAUGUUGUGCAACAAUUUCCCCCUUUCGCUCAGAUAUGGAAAGCAAAAGUGCCUCCAAAAGUCAAAAUCCUUGUGUGGCUAGUGGCGCUCGGGAAGGUUAAUACUUGUGAUCAAGUCCAAAGUCGAAUGCCUUUUGCAUGCUUCUCCCCCCAUUGGUGCACUUUGUGCAAAUCCGGGGAGGAAAGCGCCAACCAUGUUUUCCUCCAUUGUCCGUAUAGCAUUCAACUCUGGUGGAAAUUGCUCAAGGAAGCCAGAGCAAGAUGGGUCACCCCAAGGGGUUGUUUUGAGCUCCUAAGCACUAAAUUCGAAGGCCUAGGGAAAGGGAGGAAAGCCAAAACUUUGUGGGGAUCUCUGUUGAUGGCCCCCUUCUGGAACAUUUGGUUGGAGCGUAAUAAAAGAGUCUUUGAGGAUUACAAGGGAGUGGGGGUUGAGGAGCUUUGGGAUAGAGUAAAACACUGGGCAGCCCUUUGGGCUUCGGUUUUAGCGGAGUUUAGAGAUUACAAUUUCUCUUCUAUUUUUAGGGAUUUGUUAGCAGCCGUUAUUUGAUUUGGUCUAGCUUUUCCUCUGUUCAAUUAGUUUUCUUUAGGGGUCCUUGCUAGUUCUCUGAUAGCCCCAGGUGGAUAUCUUUUCCACGUGGUUAACUUUUUCUCUUUUGUAAUUCUUUCGUUUUAUAAAAUUCUAUCGUUUCUUUUCAAAAAAAAGAAAUACAGUCACAGUGCCAAUGUUAUUUGGGAGAGGACAUAAGGGCAAUGUCUAUGAAUAAUGCCCUCUGUCCAGGACCUCUUAAGGCACAUUGCACUUUUUUCAUAAGCAGAUAAACCUUGAAAGUGUAAAUUUCAAUACUAGACUAUAACUGAGCACUUGAAUAGAACUAAACUGGUCCAGGACCUCUUAAGGCACAUUGCACUUUUUUCAUAAGCAGAAAAACCUUGAAAGUGUAAAUUUCAAAACUAGACUAUAACUGAGCACUUGAAUAGAACUAAACUGGUAAUGCAAUCAUCACAACGAUGAUCGUUCAUGUGUUUGUUUCUCACUCCUGCCAACUGAAACAAGUUUUGGUACUCCCAAUGAAGUAGGUUAUGUUCUGUUCUUUACAAACUAACCGAACCAAUCCCAUUGGCAAAGUGAUCAGCUUUACUUGGCUGGUUUGAUCGGUUGCAAAUUACACUAAUCAUCAACCUAAACACCUUAAAAAUGAAUCCAUAAAUUUAUACUAAUCAUCAAACAAUAUAGCCUACAAACAAACAAUUAGAAAUUUACACCAUCAACCUAAACACCUUAAAAAUGAAUCCAUAAAUUCGAAGUAAGAAACCAAUCAAACAAUUAACCAAAAGCAUACAAACCCAAACCGAAACCGAAAACAAGAACAAAAAAGAAAAUAAACCAGAUACAAAAUCAUUUUGAACCCAAAUAAUACUAGUAAAUUUUAACGCUCAAGCUCGAUCUGAAUUUUAAAGCAUGUUAAAUUCAGUUAAUACUAGUACUGACAAACAAAAAAAUUGCUUUGCUCGAUUUCAAAAUUCAUUUGAAAUUUUUUUCAAUUUAUUCUUUCCCCUUUCCAGAGAAACAAAGUUUAAUUAUUAACGAAAUUUAUAAAUACAAUAGGAGAGAAAAAUAGAGUAUACGAUUACCGAGUAAGAAGGAGAAGAUGAAACCGUGGUGGCGGUGACGGUGGCGGUGGUGAUUGAGAGGAGGGGUGCGGAGGGCAGAUGAUUGGAGAUGGGGUAGGUUGUGUGUACGUAGGCUCGCUCUAGACUCUAGAUCCUGGGUUUUGUAUCGUGUUAAAAUUCUAUUUUGCCCUUUUCCCAAAAAAAAAUAAUAAUAAUAAAAAUUCUAUUUUGCCCCCCGCA
rnacentral:lncRNA from 1 species